UACGUAGGUGGCAAGCGUUGUCCGGAUUUAUUGGGUUUAAAGGGUGCGUAGGCGGCUUAUUAAGUCAGUGGUGAAAGACGGUAGCUUAACUAUCGAGGUGCCAUUGAUACUGAUGAGCUUGAGUACAGUUGAGGUAGGCGGAAUGGACGGUGUAGCGGUGAAAUGCAUAGAUAUCGUCCAGAACACCGAUAGUGAAGACAGCUUACCAAGCUGUAACUGACGCUGAGGCACGAAAGUGUGGGGAUCAAACAGG
rnacentral:rRNA from 1 species